rnacentral:rRNA from 1 species
GUGCAUGCGGUCUACCAUGCAAGUCGAGCGAUGAAGUUUCCUUCGGGAAACGGAUUAGCGGCGGACGGGUGAGUAACACGUGGGUAACCUGCCUCAUAGAGUGGAAUAGCCUUCCGAAAGGAAGAUUAAUACCGCAUAAUGUUGAAAGAUGGCAUCAUCAUUCAACCAAAGGAGCAAUCCGCUAUGAGAUGGACCCGCGGCGCAUUAGCUAGUUGGUGGGGUAAUUGGCUCUCACCCAAGGGCGAGCGAUUCAGUAGCCGACCUGAGGAGGGGUGAUCGGCCACAUUGGGACUGAGACACGUUCCAGACUCCUACGGGAGGCAGCAGUGGGGAAUAUUGCACAAUGGGGGAAGCCCUGAUGCAGCAACGCCGCGUGGAGUGAUGAAGGUUUUCGGGUCGUAAAGCUCUGUCUUUGGGGAAGAUAAUGACGGUACUUGAGGAGGAAGCCCCGGCUAACUACGUGCCAGCAGCCGCGGUAAUACGUAGGUGGCUAGCGUUAUCCGGAUUUACUGGGCGUAAAGGGUGCGUAGGUGGUUUCUUAAGUGGGAUGUGAAAUGCUCGGGCUCAACUUUGGUGCUGCCUUUGAAACUGGUUAUCUUGAGUGCAGGAGAGGAGAGUGGAAUUCCUAGUGUAGCGGUGAAAUGCGUAGAUAUUAGGAGGAAUACCAGUUGCGAAGGCGGCUCUCUGGACUGUAACUGACGCUGAGGCUCGAAAGCGUGGGGAGCAAACAGGAUUAGAUACCCUGGUAGUCCACGCCGUAAACGAUGAGUACUAGGUGUGGGGGUUUCACCCCCUUCGGUGGCGCCGCUAACGCAUUAAGUAUUCCGCCUGGGGAGUACGGUCGCAAGAUUGAAACUCAAAGGAAUUGACGGGGACCCGCACAAGUAGCGGAGCAUGUGGUUUAAUUCGAAGCAACGCGAAGAACCUUACCUACGCUUGACAUCCUUCUGCCUUACUCUCUAAUCGGGGAUUUCCCUUCGGGGACAGAAGUGACAGGUGGUGCAUGGUUGUCGUCAGCUCGUGUCGUGAGAUGUUGGGUUAAGUCCCGCAACGAGCGCAACCCUUGUCUUUAGUUGCUAGCAUUAAGUUGGGGACUCUAGCGGGACUGCUAGGGAUAACCUGGAGGAAGGUGGGGAUGACGUCAAAUCAUCAUGCCCCUUAUUGUGUAGGGCUACACACGUGCUACAAUGGGUGGUACAGAGGGUUGCCAUACGGUGAGUUGGAGCUUAUCUCUUCAGGUCAUUCUCAGUUCGGAAUUGUUUGGUGAAACUCGCCUACAUGAAGCUGGAGUUACUAGUAAUCGCAGAUCAGAAUGCUGCGGUGAAUGCGUUCCCGGGUCUUGUACACACCGCCCGUCACACCACGGAAGUUGGGGGCGCCCGAAGCCAGAUAGCUAACCUUUGGAAGCGUCUGUCGAAGGUAAUCAUCAGCAA